rnacentral:rRNA from 1 species
GGGGUAAUGGCCUACCAAGGCGGUGAUCUGUAGCUGGUCUGAGAGGAUGAUUAGCCACACUGGAACUGAGACACGGUCCAGACUCCUACGGGAGGCACCUGUGGGGAAUAUUGGACAAUGGGCUAGCCUGAUCCAGCUAUGCCGCGUGAGUGAGGGAGGGCCAAGGGUUGUAAAACUCUUUCAGUAGGGAAGAUAAUGACGGUACCUACAGAAGAAGUCCCGGCAACCUCCGUGCCAGCAGCCGCGGUAAUACGGAGGGGGCAAGCGUUGUUCGGAAUUAUUGGGCGUAAAGGGCAUGUAGGCGGUUUGGUAAGUUAAAGGUGAAAUACCAGGGCUUAACCCUGGGGCUGCUUUUAAUACUGCAGGAC